rnacentral:rRNA from 1 species
GACGAACCGUCCAAACGUUAUUCGGAAUCACUGGGCUUAAAGGGUGCGUAGGCUGUCCGGUAAGUUGGGUGUGAAAGCCCUCGGCUCAACCGAAGAAUUGCGGCCAAAACUGCCGGGCUCGAGGGAGAUAGAGGUGAGCGGAACUAAGGGUGGAGCGGUGAAAUGCAUUGAUAUCCUUAGGAACACCAGUAGCGAAAGCGGCUCACUGGGUCUCUUCUGACGCUGAGGCACGAAAGCUAGGGGAGCGAACGGG